UCGAGAAUUUUUCACAAUGGGGGAAACCCUGAUGGAGCGACGCCGCGUGGAGGAUGAAGGCCCUCGGGUCGUAAACUCCUGUCAUGCGGGAACAAGAAAGUGAUAGUACCGCAAGAGGAAGAGACGGCUAACUCUGUGCCAGCAGCCGCGGUAAUACAGAGGUCUCAAGCGUUGUUCGGAUUCAUUGGGCGUAAAGGGUGCGUAGGUGGCGAUGUAAGUCUAACGUGAAAUCUCGGGGCUCAACCCCGAAAUUGCGUCGGAUACUGCGUUGCUAGAGGAUUGUAGAGGAGAGUGGAAUUCACGGUGUAGCAGUGAAAUGCGUAGAUAUCGUGAGGAAGACCAGUUGCGAAGGCGACUCUCUGGGCAACUCCUGACACUGAGGCACGAAGGCUAGGGGAGCAAACGG
rnacentral:rRNA from 1 species